rnacentral:rRNA from 1 species
UACGGGGGGGGCAAGCGUUGUUCGGAAUUACUGGGCGUAAAGGGCCUGUAGGCGGCCAACUAAGUCCGACGUGAAAUCCCAAGGCUUAACCUUGGAACUGCGUCGGAUACUGGAUGGCUUGAAUUCGGGAGAGGGAUGCAGAAUUCCAGGUGUAGCGGUGAAAUGCGUAGAUAUAGGAAGGAAUACCAGUGGCGAAGGCGGCCUCCUGGAUCGAUACUGACGCUGAGGCGCGAAAGCGUGGGGAGCAAACAGG